ACAAAAAAAAAAAAAAAACAAAAAAACAAAAAAAAAAAAUAAAAAAAUUGUAUCUGUUUG
rnacentral:ribozyme from 1 species